rnacentral:rRNA from 1 species
UCGGUAGUCGAUCCUGGCUCAGAUUGAACGCUGGCGGCAUGCCUUACACAUGCAAGUCGAACGGCAGCACGGGGGCAAUCCCUGGUGGCGAGUGGCGAACGGGUGAGUCAAUACAUCGGAACGUGUCCUGUAGUGGGGGAUAGCCCGGCGAAAGCCGGAUUAAUACCGCAUACGCUCCUACGGAGGAAAGGGGGGGAUCCUUAGGACCUCCCGCUACAGGGGCGGCCGAUGGCAGAUUAGCUAGUUGGUGGGGUAAAGGCCUACCAAGGCGACGAUCUGUAGCUGGUCCUGAGAGGACGACCAGCCACACUGGGACUGAGACACGGCCCAGACUCCUACGGGAGGCAGCAGUGGGGAAUUUUGGACAAUGGGGGCAACCCUGAUCCAGCAAUGCCGCGUGUGUGAAGAAGGCCUUCCGGGUUGUAAAGCACUUUUGUCCGGACCCAGAAAACCUCCGUGGUUAAUACCCGUGGGGGAUGACGGUACCGGAAGAAUAAGCACCGGCAUAUC